UGCGGGGUAGUUUCUGUUGGUAGAAAUCCCUGACUUUGAAUCAGGAGUCUGUAGGUUCGAUUCCUACCCCCGCAG
rnacentral:tRNA from 1 species